GACGAACGCUGGCGGCGUGCCUAAUACAUGCAAGUCGAACGCAGUGGGGACGGGUGAGUAACACGUGGGUAACCUCCCAUCAGAGGGGAUAACACUUGGAAACAGGUGCUAAACCGAUACUGAUGGAUGGACCCGCGGUGCAUUCGCUAGUUGGUGAGGUAACGGCUCACCAAGGCCACGAUGCAGCGCCGACCUGAGAGGGGGAUCGGCAACACUGGGACUGUGACACGGCCCAGAUGCAUACGGGAGGCAGCAGUGGGGAAUAUUGCACAAUGGGCGCAAGCCUGAUGCAGCCAUGCCGCGUGUAUGAAGAAGGCCUUCGGGUUGUAAAGUACUUUCAGCGGGGAGGCGUUACCCGCAGAAGAAGCACCGGCUAACUCCGUGCCAGCCGCCGCGGUAAUAC
rnacentral:rRNA from 1 species